rnacentral:rRNA from 1 species
UCAAGCUAAUAAGAGCGCAAGGGGAAUGCCUUGGCAUCAGGAGCCGACGAAGGACGUGACAAGCUGCGAUAAGCUACGGUGAGGAGCAAAUAUCCUGUGACCCGUAGAUUUCCGAAUGGGGCAACCCGGCUGGACAAUAUCCAGUCAUCCUGCAUUGAAUCAAAUAGGUGUAGGAAGGGAACCGCCUGAACUGAAACAUCUAAGUAGGGCGAGGAAAAGACAUCAACCGAGAUUCCGCAAGUAGUGGCGAGCGAACGCGGAAGAGGCCAAACCGGAGGAUUUAUUCUCCGGGGUUGCGGACAGCUAUACGGAACAAUAGUUUAGCCGAACGGUCUGGGAAGGCCGGUCACAGAGGGUGAGAACCCCGUAGGCGAAAGACGAAUUGUUUCAGGCUGGAUCCAGAGUACCGCAGGACACGUGAAACCCUGUGGGAAACAGGGGGGACCACCCUCCAAGCCUAAAUACUACCUGAUGACCGAUAGAGGAGCAGUACCGUGAGGGAAAGGUGAAAAGGACCCCGGGAGGGGAGUGAAAGAGAACCUGAAACCUUGUGCUUACAAGCAGUCAGAGCACGUUAACGUGUGAUGGCGUACUUUUUGUAGAACGGUCCGGCGAGUUAUAGUAACGAGCAAGCUUAAGGUAUUCAGUACCGGAGGCGAAGCGAAAGCGAGUCUGAAUAGGGCGUAUGAAGUUCGUUGCCAUAGACCCGAAACCGGGUGACCUACGCAUGAGCAGGUUGAAGUGGGGGUGAAACCCCAUGGAGGACCGAACCAACCCCCGUUGCAAUGGUGGUGGAUGACUUGUGCGUAGCGGUGAAAUUCCAAUCGAACUCGGAGAUAGCUGGUUCUCCCCGAAAUAGCUUUAGGGCUAGCGUUAGUUUAGAUUACCGGAGGUAAAGCACUGAAUGGUUUAGGGGCUGAUAAAGUUACCGACGCCUAUCAAACUCUGAAUGCCGGAUAAUUGAUGACUAGCAGUCAGACAGUGUGAGAUAAGUUUCAUUGUCAAAAGGGAAACAGCCCAGACCUACAGCUAAGGUCCCAAAUGUAUGCUAAGUGGAAAACGAUGUGGAAUUGCGAAAACAACCAGGAUGUUGGCUUAGAAGCAGCCACACAUUAAAAGAGUGCGUAAUAGCUCACUGGUCGAGUGACUCUGCGCGGAAAAUGUAACGGGGCUAAGCAUGCAACCGAAGCUUAGGAUUGUCUAAAGACAGUGGUAGGGGAGCGUUCUGUAUGGGGUGAAGUCGCAGCGAGAGCAGCGGUGGACUGUACAGAAGUGAGAAUGCCGGAAUGAGUAGCGAGAAUUAUGUGGGAAUCAUAAUGGCCGAAAAUCUAAGGUUUCUUGGGGAAGGUUCGUCCGCCCAAGGUAAGUCGGGAGCUAAGCUCAGGCCGAGAGGCGUAGGCGAUGCACAUACGGUAGAAAUUCCGUAACCACCGAAACUUAAACAGAGGGACACUUCGAAAUAGCGGAACCCGGGCGUUGGUUGACCCGGGCGUAAGGGAGCGAAAUUAGAGUAGCGAAGUCCGCGAUGUUCGGAGGCGAGAAAAGCUCUGAGGUAUGCUAAGGUGCCCGUACCGCAAACCGACACAGGUAGAUGAGGAGAGAAUCCUAAGGCCAACGGGAGAAGGGUUGUUAAGGAACUCGGCAAAUUGACCCCGUAACUUCGGAAGAAGGGGAGCCCCCUACGGGGGGUCGCAGAGAAAUGGCCCAAGCAACUGUUUACCAAAAACACAGGUCUAUGCUAAAUCGAAAGAUGACGUAUAUGGGCUGACGCCUGCCCGGUGCCGGAAGGUUAAGAGGAGAUGUCAGGCAACGAAGCAUUGAAUUUAAGCCCCGGUAAACGGCGGCCGUAACUAUAACGGUCCUAAGGUAGCGAAAUUCCUUGUCAGGUAAGUUCUGACCCGCACGAAUGG